rnacentral:rRNA from 1 species
UACGUAGGCAGCAAGCGUUGUUCGGAGUUACUGGGCGUAAAGGGUGCGCAGGCGGCCCUGUAAGUAUGGUGUGAAAUCUCCCGGCUCAACUGGGAGGGUGCGCUAUAAACUGCGGGGCUAGAGUGUGGGAGAGGAAAGUGGAAUUCCUGGUGUAGCGGUGAAAUGCGUAGAUAUCAGGAGGAACACCGGUGGUGUAAACGGCUUUCUGGACCAUAACUGACGCUCAUGCACGAAAGCGUGGGUAGCAAACAGG